AACCUUGGUGGAAGUCACCACUUGUGUCAAAUGAUUAUGACUUUAUGACUUCCACUUGUUAUGGAUAGUGACUGUAGAAAUAAGUAUCUUGACAUUUUCUGGUAAGAAUGUUUUGUCAUGCUGAGAAGCAUUCCAUGGAACAUAACAGAACAUUUCAUUAGGUCAUGUAGUCAUGAUGUAAUACCUGUCCACUGAAAUAGUUGUGUUGUAAGUUUCCGGAAUGUUCUAGAAUACUUUGUAAAUGUCUAUAAGGACUCAGUCCUGUAGUAGAAGUUGUUGUUGUUGGAAGUGAAUGACUGCUUGGAAAGCUAUACACAGAGAGAGAGUGCUAUUGUGAAGAUUGUUUAAUCCAAGGAACUUUGGAGAAAACUGUGAGUUUGUGUCAGUGGCGAGGCAAGACAGAGAUUGUUGUGGGCUUAAGUACGAGGUAAGGACAAUGUAGGAGCCACUAUGGAUUCCAUGGAUCUGGAAUGACAGCGAGGAAUAACCAUACAGCAACAUAUGUUGAUUGGAAAGAUACAAACAUUAACAUUAUUGAUACACCAGAGCAAAGUUACAACGCACUGCAGCCUUCACCCAAUUGCCAAUUGGUUUGGAAUCUGAGGUAAAAGGAGUCAUUGACCUUGUGUGAUGGAAGGCUUAUUACUUUGAGGGAAAUCAUGGGUUCAAAGGGGUAGAAGGUGUCACCCCAGAAGACAUGGUCAAUGAGUGUACAACAAGAAGACAGGAGCUGAUAGAAUCCGACAUAAACGCCUUGAUGAAGAUGGCUCUGCGUGAGGUGGCUUUCCUUCCUCUCGGAGUCUUGAUCGACCAAUGGAGAUGGAAAGUUUUCAGCGGUAAGAUCACUGAGGAGAAUUACAAUACCGCGUGGUGGGAACUGAGGACUAAGUACCAAGGAAUGGAACCUGCUGUGGAAAGGACAGAAAAUGACUUUGAUCCCUGAUGCAAAUAACACAUUCCAGCUAAUACACCAUACAUCAGGUACUUUAUGAGCUACGUGCUACAAUUCCAGUUCCACAAGGCCGCCUGUGAGGCAGCCGGACAUACGGGACCUUUGCAUACCUGCUCCAUCUACGAGUCUAAAGAAGCGGGAAAGAAGAUCGGGGAUAUGCUGAAGAUGGGAAAAAGCAAGCCUUGGCCGGAAGCUCUCAAAAAACUGACCGGAAGUGAAACACUGGAUGUUGGCGCUCUAUCGGAAUACUUUGAGCCUCUCCGCAAGUGGAUGGUGGAACAGAGGAAAGAGCUGGGGUACACUGGACCCGGAUGGGACGUAGACGCAAAGGCUGGAGUAUCAGCUGUUCUUCCCACACUGUUCAACACUGUCAUGGGUUCUUUGAUUGUGACAGUUGUGCUCUUUUGCUAGAGAUCUUCAAAAGGCCUGGACCUAGGGCCAUGAUCAUUGCUUUUCAUUAUCAGCCUUUUUUUCUUUUUUUUCAUUGCAAUUGCCUUCGUGGUAAAUCAGCAAUUGAAAUUGUGAUUAAUUGUUUUUCUUUUUAGGUUAUCGAUUAUCGUCUCACGUUUCUUUGACAGUGCAAAAUAAAGAUGUACGUUUUCUAUUA